rnacentral:rRNA from 1 species
GAUGAACGCUGGCGGCGUGCCUAAUACAUGCAAGUCGAGCGAACAGACGCGGAUCUUGCUCCUCUGACGUUAGCCGCGGCCGGGUGAGUCACACGUGGAUCCCCUCCCUAUCAGACUGGGAUAUCUUCGGGACACCGGAUCUAAUACCGGAUAAUCUCUUGCUCCGCAUGGUUCCAUAGUGAAAGCCGGUUUUGCUGUCUCUUCUCGCUGGUUCCGCGCCGCUUUAGCUAGUUGGUAAGGUAACGGCUUACCAAGGCACCGAUGCGUAGCCGACGUGACAGGGUGAUCGGCCACACUAGAACUGAGACAGGGACCAGACUCCUACGGGAGGCAGCAGUAGGGAAUGUGCCGCAAUGGGGGAAAGCCUGACGGAGCAACGCCGCGUGAGUGGUGAAGGUCUUGGGAGCGUAAAACUGUGUUAUUAGGGAAGAACAAAUGUGUAAGGAAAUAUGCACGGAUUGACGGUAGCGAAUCAAAAAGCAACGGCUAACUACGUG